UGGGAAGUACGGCCGCAAGGCUGAAACUUAAAGGAAUUGACGGACUCCUACGGGAGGCAGCAGUGGGGAAUUUUGCGCAAUGGGGGAAACCCUGACGCAGCAACGCCGCGUGGAGGAUGAAGUCCCUUGGGAUGUAAACUCCUUUCGACCCGGACGAUACUGACGGUACGGGUGGAAGAAGCACCGGCUAACUCUGUGCCAGCAGCCGCGGUAAUACAGAGGGGGCAAGCGUUAUUCGGAAUUAUUGGGCGUAAAGGGCGCGUAGGCGGUUGGAUAAGCCCUCCGUGAAAUCUCCAGGCUUAACCUGGAAAGUGCAGAGGGGACUGUUCAGCUAGAGGAUGGGAGAGGAGCGCGGAAUUCCCGGUGUAGCGGUGAAAUGCGUAGAGAUCGGGAGGAAGGCCGGUGGCGAAGGCGGCAUCCUGGACCAAUUCUGACGCUGAUGAGCGAAAGCCAGGGGAGCAAACGGGAUUAGAUACCCCGGUAGUCCUGGCCCUAAACGAUGAAUGCUUGGUGUGGCGGGUAUCGAUCCCUGCCGUGCCGAAGCUAACGCAUUAAGCAUUCCGCCUGGGGAGUACGGUCGCAAGGCUGAAACUUAAAGGAAUUGACG
rnacentral:rRNA from 1 species